AGCGACGAACGGUCUUGAAUCGUCCGCUCGACGGCCUCAUAAUAUCCCCAUGGUUGUAAUUCCGGUCAGCCGGAGUCAUUCUGGACGCGGGUUCGAAUCCCGCCACCUCCACCCAAGCGAAGCUUGGGCGAGCGUUUGGGUGGGGGUGUACCGGUUUCGACAGGGUGUGCGAAGGCGAGCAGGCAACCCGUCAGGCGAUCGACGUUAAUGAAGCAAACCUAUAAACGCCAAUGAUGAGCGUUUCGCACUGGCCGCCUAAGGUCGAUGCCGGGGCCGCUUGAGCCUUGUUACCCAAGAAAAGCCGGCGGGGACUUUGGUCCCCGCCGUCA
rnacentral:tmRNA from 1 species